GUCACGCUCGGCCAGGCCUGUGACCCUGAAACCCCCUCCAGCCUCCUGCCCCACUCUGGCACCAGUCCUCCCUGCAGCUUGCAGAGCAAGCGGGGUACUGUCUCCCCAAGGUAUGGCCUGGGGGGCUGUGGGAGGUGAUGGGAGCAGCUGUAUUUGAGGGCAGGGUCCGUGGGGGAGCCCCCCAGUGUGGGGACAGGAGGAGGGACCAGGGAGUGUAACCUGGCAGCCCACAGCAGUUCCGGCUGCUGCUUCUGUCAAUACGGCCUUCCUGUUUUGGAGAUUAAACCCCGGCUGAGCAAACAGCUUUCCGGGUGGCCCCUCCCUCCACCCCAGCCCUGGCCUUGUCUUCAGGUCCUGAGGCUGGGACCACCUGGAGGCUGUGGGGGUGGCAGUGGGGGUGCUGGGGGAUGGAGGGGACCAAGCUUUGCAACCCCUGCCCUCACCAAGGCCUGGACCACAGCCCGAGCAGCCCAGCCCCUGCCCCAGCCGCAGCCUCCUCCCAGCACCCCCGCCAUGGGCUCUCCCGGAACACUCCCUGUGUGAUCCUUCCGACCCAGGGCAGCCUCACUGUCCUGGACACCCGGCCGCUGCAUCCUCUGCCCUUGUGUGACCUCCUGCAAGAAGGCAGGAGCACGCCGCUCCCGGGCCUCGUGGCCAGGCACAAGCCCACCUCGUGUGGACCCCAGGCGUGGCAGGAGAACCACCGCAAGAGCCCCACCAAGGCACAGCCAGGGGAGGGCCUGCCAUUUCUUGGAUGGCUUCUGCGCUGUGGCCCCUGACAUUGAAGGUGGAUCAUUCUUGGUUGUGAGACUGUCCUGUGCAUGAGGGGCUGUCAGGCAGCCUCCCUGGACCCUAUAAGCCAGACCCUAAUGGCUGCUCAGCCCCAGCCCAAAGGCGACAAACGGAAGUGUCUCCAAACAUUCAUUAUCAAGUGUCCCCAGAGACCAGGACCAGCCCUGGAUAACACCCUCUGGACUAAGCUGCAACACCGGCAGAGCCUCCCAAGGAAGGGAGGAGGGAGGACAGAGGCCAAGGUGGCUCCCAGCCACCCUUCCAGCUUCCUCCCUCUCUGGCCACAAGGACACAAAGCUCAGAGGGAUGGAUGGACAGACAGGAAGGCUCAGGCUGGACACGCAUUGUCCGAGUACCCCAAGCAGAGCUGGGCAUGGAGCAAAUGCUCAGGGAGGCUGUGGGAUGAGCAGGUGAAAUGGAUGGAAGGAUGGACGGACAGAUGGAUGGAUGGAUGGAUGGAUGGAGCCCAACACCAGCUCUCAGGUCCUAGACAGAUGGUCCAACACCAGAGAGGUGGCCUCUCUCAAGCAGAUCUUCCCAGGACCCUGCAGGAGGGCAGGCCGCAGCAGCCCCAAGGAACAGCCCGGGGGAGGGAAGGCAGAUGGCCGCCUCAAAGCCAGCCCCGAGUCCUUCCCUUCUAGGCCUGAGUGUCAAGGGCAGACCCAGACCAUGGCUUUGGGGACCUGGUGGCACUGACUCCAUCAGGAGACCUCUGGGCUGAGCCCUGGCAGGUACAGGAGGCCUGGACUCAGAUGGGGACAGAACACUGUCUCAGUCUGAUGGCGGCUCGGGGAGGAGGGUAGGGCCCCUGGUCAUGUGGGUCCUGGCCCUGUGGGCCUGCUCUCCACCUGACCUCAGCAGGCAGGUCUCUUGGGCCAUUCGUGCACCCAGCUGCCCUGGAGCCCCAAACUGGGACUGGUGGAGGGGCCCUGCGGAGGGGAAGGCUGGGGUCCAAGAAGCCAAUGAAGCCAUGUGCCAGGGCCAGAGCUGGUCUGCCUGGUCUGGAUGGUAUGUCAUCCUUGUGUUACAAGUGGGGAAACUGAGGCUCGGGGAGUAACAUCACAGGUUCAAGGUCUUAAAGCUGAGAAGUGGCCCCUCUGGGUUUGGAAGGCAGGCUGGACCCUGGGGCAGCCUCUACCCCCAGCCCCUCUUCCCCAGGACCCUACAGCCCCAAGAGGCUUCCCUGGCAACCCGGUCAGCCCUCUCUGUCCUCUCCCCAGCUGCCCUUGUCCUGUCCAGGGCUGAGCACCGUCCCACAGCCCACUUCCCUAGCAGGGCUGUAUGACCCAGCGGGCCCCUAGAGGGAGACCUGGGGUCUGGAGGGGGAGGGGAGUGUUUCAGGCUGAAGCGGAGCCUGGGGAAGCAGGCGGGGGUGGCUAGACUGGGCCACCCCCUCAACAGUUUUCAGACCUCAAGGAGUUACCACGAAAUUCCAUUCUCCUGACAGCAAAGAAAUUGAUUCAUUCUUGCCAAAGCCUGCGGCCCCCACAAGAAUGCUGUAAAGCUUCCUCCCGCUGCUUCCAGACAGGCAGCAGCAUCAGGUCCCCCACUCCUCCAUUCCUGGCUACACAGAGACGCGAAACCCCCGUAUUCAGUUCUAUGCAUGUGCCCCGCCAGGCUGGGCCAUUCACCUCUGUAUAGUCACUCCCUUGGCACAAUACCCCGCUUGCUUUCUGUACAAUGGGCACCUUGCUCCCACGACCUGCUGGGUCAAAGGCACUGCAGUCAGGGGUAGCUGGGGAGCAGGGGUAAUGGGGGGCUCAGGGCAGGAAGUCCCACCCCCUGGCCUGGGAACUGUGGAGAGAUGGACUCACAGCCCCUUGUCAGGUGGGGUGCAGGGUGGCACGGCACCCACCAUCGGUGCCACUGAUGUAAAGUCCAGAUACAAAGCACAGCCCAUCCAAAGAUUUGGGGGCUAGGUCAUGCUUGGCUGCUGCGGAAUGAGGAGGGACUGGGCCUCAAGAAACCGAGCUAGGACUAAGUCACGAGGUACGUGGACAUCAGGCGGGACUUGAACUCAGCCAGUGGAGAGCUAUGGAGGGUUUUGUUCUUCGUGUGGCUGUGUGAGUGGCUAUGAUCCUAGCGUGGAGAAUAGCAAAGCAGGUAGGAUAGGAGUAGGUGGGACGGGAGUGGAGGCUGCCUAAGCGAUCCAGGGAAGAGACUGGUUCCCUCUCUGAAACAAUUCAGAUACGGGAGAGGCUGAAGUCAUCGGUGUGAAGCACGUGGGGGCGUGGAGACCCCUCAGUCCGGAGGCUGGGGCUGGGCUGGGGCUCAGCUGACUUUGUGGGGGCAGCCAACCCAGCCACUGGGUCCUUUUCUCCCCGGCUCACCCUCAAGCCUCUCCAGCUGCCUGGAG